rnacentral:rRNA from 1 species
UACGAAGGGGGCUAGCGUUGCUCGGAAUCACUGGGCGUAAAGGGUGCGUAGGCGGGUCUUUAAGUCGGGGGUGAAAUCCUGGAGCUCAACUCCAGAACUGCCUUCGAUACUGUAGAGCUUGAGUUCGGGAGAGGUGAGUGGAACUGCGAGUGUAGAGGUGAAAUUCGUAGAUAUUCGCAAGAACACCAGUGGCGAAGGCGGCUCACUGGCCCGAUACUGACGCUGAGGUGCGAAAGCGUGGGGAGCGAACAGG